ACGGAGGGUGCAAGCGUUGUUCGGAUUUAUUGGGUGUAAAGGGUCCGUAGGCGGAAAUGUAAGUCAGAUGUGAAAUACUUCGGCUCAACUGAAGAACUGCAUCUGAAACUGCAUAACUAGAGUACAGAAGAGGGAAAUGGAAUUCCCAGUGUAGAGGUGAAAUUCGUAGAUAUCGGGAGGAACACCAGUGGCGAAGGCGGUUUCCUGGUCUGAUACUGACGCUGAUGCGCGAAAGUGUGGGGAGCAAACAG
rnacentral:rRNA from 1 species